rnacentral:misc_RNA from 1 species
GUAGGAGCCGGCUUGCUGGCGAUACAGUCAACGCGGUCUCUUUGAGCAUCGCGUUUAUCCAAUCGCCAGCAAGCCGGCUCCUAC